rnacentral:rRNA from 1 species
UACGUAGGGGGCAAGCGUUGUCCGGAAUCAUUGGGCGUAAAGCGCGCGUAGGCGGCCAGAUAAGUCCGGUGUGAAAGUCACAGGCUCAACCUGUGAAUGCCGCUGGAAACUGUCUGGCUUGAGUCCGGAAGGGGCGAGUGGAAUUCCUGGUGUAGCGGUGAAAUGCGCAGAUAUCAGGAGGAACACCGGUGGCGAAGGCGACUCUUUGGCCUGUAACUGACGCUGAGGCGCGAAAGCGUGGGGAGCAAACAGG